UGGUACCAUGACCUAGUCUGAGCCCUUUUUCUGUUUGGAGGCCUGGUGCCACAGCUCAAACAGCAGCCUCCUAAAGUGUGUAUGCAACUUAUUGCUUGUAUGGGUUGCCCCACAGGACCUUGGAGAAGGCC